UAGUCAUUAAAAGGUAUAUUAUGUUCCGGAUUAUGAAUGAAAUUUGUCUUUUGUCUUUCUGAGUUUGCAAAAUAUUGCAUCACUGGCUUGCAACAUCCAUCCAACUGGGACAGUGCAGAGGAGAGGAGACUAUUACAGUUUGUUACAAGGGACACAGAGAGAAUGAAGAGUUUGACCAGAGUUUAAACCUAAUGACCAGAGUUUUACUUAAAAGGGGGCCAAGCAGAAGAGGACUAGGGUGAAGGAUGGAGUCAAGAAAAGAAGACUUCCUCUCUCAUCCCUGAGCAUCCUGAAUAAAAGGAGAAGAGCAGUGUGA